AGUGAACGCUGGCGGUAGGCCUAACACAUGCAAGUCGAACGGCAGCACAGUAAGAGCUUGCUCUUACGGGUGGCGAGUGGCGGACGGGUGAGGAAUACAUCGGAAUCUACUUUUUCGUGGGGGAUAACGUAGGGAAACUUACGCUAAUACCGCAUACGACCUACGGGUGAAAGCAGGGGAUCUUCGGACCUUGCGCGAUUGAAUGAGCCGAUGUCGGAUUAGCUAGUUAGCGGGGUAAAGGCCCACCAAGGCGACGAUCCGUAGCUGGUCUGAGAGGAUGAUCAGCCACACUGGAACUGAGACACGGUCCAGACUCCUACGGGAGGCAGCAGUGGGGAAUAUUGGACAAUGGGCGCAAGCCUGAUCCAGCCAUACCGCGUGGGUGAAGAAGGCCUUCGGGUUGUAAAGCCCUUUUGUUGGGAAAGAAAAGCAGCAGGUUAAUACCCCGCUGUUCUGGCGGUACCCAAAGAAUAAGCACCGGCUAACUUCGUG
rnacentral:rRNA from 1 species